CCUACGGGGGGCAGCAGUGGGGAAUAUUGCACAAUGGGGGAAACCCUGAUGCAGCGACGCCGCGUGAGUGAAGAAGUAUUUCGGUACGUAAAGCUCUAUCAGCAGGGAAGAAAAUGACGGUACCUGACUAAUAAGCCACGGCUAACUACGUGCCAGCAGUCGCGGUAAUACGUAGGGGUAAAGCGUUAGCCGGAUGUAAUGGGUGUAGCGGGAGCGUAGACGGCAGCGCAAGUCUGGAGUGAAAUCCCAUGGGUUAACCACCGGACUGCUUUGGAUACUGGGCAGCUAGAGUGCAGGAGAGGUAAGCGGAAUUCCGGGGGUAGCGGUGAAAUGCGUAGAUAUUAGGAGGAACACCAGUGGCGAAGGCGGCUUACUGGACUGUAACUGACGUUGAGGCUCGAAAGCGUGGGGAGCAAACAGGAUUAGAUACCCUGGUAGUC
rnacentral:rRNA from 1 species